AUUGAACGCUGGCGGUAGGCCUAACACAUGCAAGUCGAACGAGUGGCGGACGGGUGAGGAAUGUCUGGGAAUCUGCCUGGUGGAGGGGGAUAACGAAUGGAAACGGACGCUAAUACCGCAUACCAUCAGAUGUGCCCAGGUGGGAUUAGCUCGUUGGGGGGGUAACGGCUCACCAGGGCGACGAUCCGUAGCUGGUCUGAGAGGAUGAUCAGCCACACUGGAACUGAGAAACGGUCCAGACGCCUACGGGAGGCAGCAGUGGGGAAUAUUGGACAAUGGGCGCAAGCCUGAUGCAGCCAUGCCGCGUGGAUGAAGAAGGCCUUCGGGUUGUAAAGUACUUUCAUCGGGGAAGCGGUACCCGCAGAAUAAGCACCGGCUAACUCCGUGCCAGCAGCCGCGGUAAUAC
rnacentral:rRNA from 1 species